ensembl:lncRNA
GGCUUUAUGGCUUUUCCUAUAGUACUUUGUGGGCUGGUCUCUAGUCAAAAUGCUUAGGCCGUUUUUUUGUCCCAGUCCAACCCUGGGUGGGGGAACUCCAGGCCUCAAGUGCUGGUGUCCUGCGGGUUUUAGAACCACCGCAGCUAAUUUAAAUGGCUAAAUUACCUCCUCACCAUGUCUUGAAAUUCUGCAGUGGCCUGGUAAUGAACUAAUCAUUUGAUUCCAGUGUGUUGACCCAGGGUGAGAUCUAAAACCUGCAGGACUUCAACCCUUGAGGCCUGGAGUUUCCCACCCUAGUAUUAGAGUGUGAAUGUUGGAAGGACAACAGAAGGUAGGAAGAGAAACUGUUGCACACAUUAAGUACUUUUAAUUUAAAUCACAUACUUUGAAUGGUGGUUGACCCUUCUGUAGGGGUUGUGGUGCUUUGUGCUGCAGUUUUAGUUGUAGUUGUAGUAGUUGGCGCUGCAGUUGUGGUUGUUGGUGCUGCAGUUGUGGUUGUUGGUGCUGCAGUUAUGGUUGGUGUUGUAGUUGUGUUGGUUGGUGCUGUAGUUGUAGUGGUGGUUGGUAGUGCAGUUGUGGUUGUUGCUGUAGUUGUAUUCGUUGGUGCUGCAGUUGUGGUUGCCGGUGCUGCAGUUGUGGUUGGUGUUAUAGUUGUAGUGGUGGUUGGUGCUGCAGUUGUAGUGGUGGUUAGUGUUGUGGUUGUUGGUGCAGUAGUUGUGGUUACUGUUGCAGUUAUGGUUGCCGGUGCUGCAGCUGUAGUGGUUGUUGUUGGUGGUGCAGUUGUAGUGAAUGGCGCUGCAGUUAUGGUUGCUGGUGCUGCAGUUGUAGUGGUUGUUGGUGCUGCAGUGGUUGUUGGUGAUGCAGGUGUGGUUGGUGCUGCAGUUGCGGUUAGCGUUGCAGUUGUAGUGGUUGUUGGUGCAGUUGUAGUGGUUGGCGCUGCAGUUAUAGUUGCUGGUGCUGCAGUUGUAGUGGUUGUUGGUGCUGCAGUGGUUGUUGGUGACGCAGGUGUGGUUGGUGCUGCAGUUGCGGUUAGCGUUGCAGUUGUAGUGGUUGUUGGUGCAGUUGUAGUGGUUGGCGCUGCAGUUAUGGUUGCUGGUGCUGCAGUUGUAGUUGUUGUGGUUGGUGCUGCAGUUGUGGUUGCUU